rnacentral:rRNA from 1 species
GAUGAACGCUGGCGGCGUGCCUAAUACAUGCCAGUCGAGCGAACAGACGAGAGUGCUUGCACUCUCUGACGUUAGCGGCGGACGGGUGAGUAACACGUGGGUAACCUACCUAUAAGACUGGGAUAACUUCGGGAAACCGGAGCUAAUACCGGAUAAUAUUUAGCUUCGCAUGAAGCAAUAGUGAAAGACGUUUCUGCUGUCACUUAUAGAUGGACCCGCGGUGUAUUAGCUAGUUGGUGAGGUAACGGCUCACCAAGGCAACGAUACAUAGCCGACCUGAGAGGGUGAUCAGCCACACUGGGACUGAGACACGGCCCAGACUCCUACGGGAGGCAGCAGUAGGGAAUCUUCCGCAAUGGACGAAAGUCUGACGGAGCAAUGCCGCGUGAGUGAAGAAGGUUUUCGGAUCGUAAAACUCUGUUGUAAGGGAAGAACAAGUACGUUAGUAACUGAACGUACCUUGACGGUACCUUACCAGAAAGCCACGGCUAACUACGUG